CUACGGGUUGCAGCAGUCGAGAAUAGUCUACAAUGGACGAAAGUCUGAUAGUGCGACGCCGCGUGGAUGAAGAAGCAUUUCGGUGUGUAAAGUCCUUUUCUGUGUGAGCAAUGUUUUCCAGGUUAAUAGCUUGGAGAAAGCGAUAUUAACACAGGAAUAAGCUCCGGCUAACUCCGUGCCAGCAGCCGGGGUAACACGGGGGGAGCAAGCGUUGUCCGGAAUUACUAGGCGUAAAGGGUAAGUAGGCGGAAUUGUAAGUCAGAUGUUAAAGGCACCGGCUCAACCGGUGUAUGGCAUUUGAUACUGUAAUUCUAGAGUAAGGUGGGGGAAGACGGAAUUCCUGGUGUAGCGGUGGAAUGCGCAGAUAUCAGGAGGAACACCAGAGGCGCAGGCGGUCUUCUAUACCAUUACUGACGCUCAAUUACGAAGGUGUGGGUAUCAAACAGGAUUAGAUACCCCGGUAGUC
rnacentral:rRNA from 1 species